GUGAGAUUCCAGUGUUUCCUCCAGAAAGGCACAUUAUUCCUCCACCAUGGUCUUCUUUUUCCUGUGUACCUUGACCCUGUAGGAGAUGAGACUUCUAAAGUGAUUCCUUUCCCUCUUUUCUCCUCAUCACCCCUUCCCACUCUCUAAGGUUUUCAGGUGCUGGUUCCAUGGCUCUUCCUGAGCCGAAAAUAAGGAAACUCCAUAGACCUUGUCCACUGGAACUCGUUCCCAUCUACCCUCCACUCUAUCCAGCCCCAUGAGGACAAGGAACAUGAUUGGUUUUGCUCACUGCCGUAUCUUCCGUACCUAGUACGUAACAGGACAUCAAUAAAUAUUAGUUGAAUGGAAGAUUAAAUCAACAAAAUGGGUGAUGGAUCUCUGCAGUAAGUGGAAGAGUUCUUCAUGGCCCCCAAGGUUAUAUCCAUCUAGAACUUCAGCACGUAAUUUCAUCUGGAAAUAGUGCCUUUGCGGAUAUAAGUUAGGUAAAACUGAAGAUGAGAUCAUACUGGAUUAGGAUGGGAUCUAAAUCCAAUGAAAAUGUCUUCAUAAAAAACAGGAAAGAACCCAUAGAAACACAAGGAAGAAGGUCAUGUGAAGAUGGAGGCAGAGAUUGGAGGGAUGCAGCCACCGGCCCAGGAAUGCCAGCAGCCACCCAGAAGCUGGAAGGAAAUGAGGGAUUCUCUCCUAGAACCUUUAGAGAGAACAUGGUCCUGUGAACAGCUUGAUUUUGGACUUGCCCAUAGCUUGUAUACUCUUACUUUGGAUACAAUUUUAUCCAAACUUGGCUAAACAGUUUCUCAGCCUAUGGAAAAUUUAAAAUGGAGAAGAUUCAACUCGAUUCUUACAGAUUCAAAGCAAGAAAAUGAUGGGAACAUAGGAGGAGACCAAGAAAGCCUAUAAAAAGCAAAAAUAUGAAGUGAACAUUGUGGUAGCUUUAAGAUGUUUAGUGUAGCUGCAGGCACCCUAUACACAUGAAAACCCCCAAGGGGAAUCCCCAUAUCACAGUGUAGUGUGAUAUUUGACAUUCGUGAUCAUCUAGAGAUGUACAGAAAAGGUGAAUCUGUGUUCUGUAUAUUCUGCCUAAGGCAAAGAAAUGUUUAGCUCUCUUUAAAAUAGUUCCAUAAUUUUUUCUAAAAAGCUUUGCUUGAAAACUGUAAGCUUCCCAUAUCUGGAGCAUUUCACUUUAAAUAUUUGGAUAAAUAUGUUAUCUUCUUACUUGGACAUUUCAUGUGUUUAGGGAUUGUCUUCUAAAUUCUUCCUAAUUCAUAUAGCUGCUAACACUUCCCGCAGAGCUAAACCAUUACAGAUAUGAAAUAAAGACCUAUUGAUUUGACUUACUUUUACUUGUAAAACCUUCUGAGUGUUAUAACCUCAUUUAAUCUUUCAGCAUUUACAGUUUCAAGAGUUUGUGUCACAAUUAGAAGAAUUCAGCUGCACCUCCAAGUGACAGCAGUUGCUCUGGUUGGUGGGUGAUCUCAGGAGGCUUGAGAAUUGCUUUGUCUGUGAGGGAAGUAAGACAUUUUCAGAGCCCCACUUUAGAAGGUGUGAACUGGCUAGAUAAUGAACCCCAGGGCUAACGCUGCUAUAGCAGUGGGAAGGAGGUGAUGGGUUUUCAGUUUGGACCUCAAACAUCAAUACCCUCCUGGUACGGGGAGGAACAGAGUCCCUCCUUUACUUCUCCAUUAGAAAGAAUGAGAUGGCAAGACAAUGAAACAGGCAAAGUGAACAGAGAUGCAAGACAAAAUUCAGGUGAGAGAGCCAGAGCAUCACUCAGCCAUUCCUGACAUGUAAAACAGGCAACUAGAAAUUUGCAGAAAGGAAGCGAAGUCUCCAUAAAGAUGUUUUUAAAGUGAGCUUGAAGUAUUUGGAGACAAUUCAGUGUUACAUAAAAUCUGCAAAUCUCUGGAUAAAGAAGCAGAGAUCCCAGCAUGGGACAAAUGGAGCCUCAAAAGUGGGAAGAAGACAGAGAAGACCAGGGCAGAAUGCAUCUCUUCCUUUCUCUUGGCUUUCCUGGAUAAGGACUGCAUCAUUCCUGUGGAAGGACAGGCCAUCAGCUCCGAAACACUGUAUGUAUUUUCCAGUAUAUACUGCUAGCUGUGUGAUGUUGGGAAAAUUUGUUACCCUGUCUAACCCCCACUUCCCUCAUCUGUAAAAUGGAAAUAAUGAUAGUACCUACCUAUCUCAUAGGUGGCAACUACAAGGGGCAGCACACUCAGGGAAUUAAGGAAGUUUCAGUGAACAUCAACUUUAUGAACACAGUGUUCAUAAAGGCAGGUCAGUGCAGUGGUUUGGGAGCCAGGAGAAGCACGUGGGCCGGAGUGUGCCUGCAGGAGACAAGGUCAGAGAUGUUGCUAAUAAUGGAGAAUAAAGGAUGCAUUCUCAUUACUGACCUUGGAGUCGUUCAUUCAUUCCCAGAAUGUGUUUUGUCAGCUUACUAAAACACUAAGUUAAAUAAUCCCAGGUUUUGUUUAUU
rnacentral:lncRNA from 1 species